rnacentral:rRNA from 1 species
UACAGAGGCCCCGAGCGUUAAUCGGAAUUACUGGGCGUAAAGCGUGCGCAGGCGGCUUUGCAAGACAGAUGUGAAAUCCCCGGGCUUAACCUGGGAACUGCAUUUGUGACUGCAUGGCUAGAGUGCGGCAGAGGGGGAUGGAAUUCCGCGUGUAGCAGUGAAAUGCGUAGAUAUGCGGAGGAACACCGAUGGCGAAGGCAAUCCCCUGGGCCUGCACUGACGCUCAUGCACGAAAGCGUGGGGAGCAAACAGG